rnacentral:lncRNA from 1 species
AGAAAAGAUCUGAGUGAAGUAACCCUCACUCGGAACCAGAAAGACAAAUAUGGGAACAAGCACUGCGAUGCAUCUGUUUCCUUGCUGCUACUCAACACCGUACUAAAGGAUUUGCAGCCAAUGCAAUUAGAUGAGGAUGUAACGCUUUCAGCUGCUUCUCUAACACCAUGCAUGUGUGCUUCCCAUCAUGAUGCUGAGCAUCCAAACGUGUAAAGAGGCUCCCGAUUAAAUGCUCUCUUCUCUGAGUUGCCUUGGUCAUGGUGUCUCUCUGCAGCAACAGAACGGUGACUAAG